rnacentral:rRNA from 1 species
UACAGAGGUCUCAAGCGUUGUUCGGAUUCAUUGGGCGUAAAGGGUGCGUAGGCGGCGGGGUAAGUCUGGUGUGAAAUCUCGGAGCUCAACUCCGAAAUUGCACUGGAUACUGCUCUGCUAGAGGGCUGGAGAGGAGAUCGGAAUUUACGGUGUAGCGGUGAAAUGCGUAGAUAUCGUAAGGAAGACCAGUGGCGAAGGCGGGUCUCUGGACAGUUCCUGACGCUGAGGCACGAAGGCCAGGGGAGCAAACGGG